rnacentral:lncRNA from 1 species
GGGGUCACGUGGGCGGGGUUUAAACUCACCUCCUCUGGAGGGAGUGAGGAGGGGGGUGUGUGGGGGGGGUAGUGCGCGGAGACGGCGGCGCGCCGAGGGGGUGGGGGCGCAGUCGGGGUGGCGCGCGUCGAAGGCAGUAAAUGAGGAGGGGUGCGCGAGUCGGCGGGCUCCGGGUUCCGGCUCCCGCCAAGAGCUGUCUUUUGCAAACUAGCAAGUUCCUUCCACCUUAUGCAACCCAGCAACCCACUUCUCCAAGCCGUGCGACACUCACGGCGCAUCUCAGCGGCUUUCCUUCCUGCUCCCGCUGGGGGCCCCAGAAGAGGGGUUUGCGAGGCCUGGCUGCACUGCCCUGCUCCUCUGGAAGCAGGAGGAAGCGCGCGGCUGGAGGCACAGGCUGCAGUUCCCAGAGCCCAGGCUGACGCCAAAGUGGGAAAAAGGCGGGGAAACCAGCUUGGCGCAGCCGGACGUGCAUCCUUCCGAGCUGCCACUUCGGAGAAGCCUUUCGUGCACCUCACCUGAAAGACGGUCCCACUCGAGGUGGGCUAGGGGUUUCAGGGGGAGACUUUCCAUGCAGAGGUGCCUUUUGGGUGCCGUGGGUCAGGUAGGAGCUGUCCUUUCAGCACCCGUUGCGCAGCCGCCUCCCCAAAUGCUAUCGAAGCCCCCACCCCCAACUCCUCUCGGGUGGCUCCCUUAAGGUCCCUGUAUUCCCAAACCUCCAGACCCCGCCACAGUAUGGUGGAGAGCGGCCGUCGAGGUCUACCAGCACUCACUUCCCCCUACACUCUACCCCUCUCGGAGACAUUUUGCCCAGCUGCCCAACCCGACGCGGCCACCAAGCCUGGGCACUGCAGCCGCAGCUGGCGAAAUCCCUCCUUCCACACUGUCAAGCUGGCUGCCUUUCACUUGCGCGAGGAAAGGAGGGUGGAGGAAAGCGCCCGGGGAUUAGGAAACAAGUAGAGGAACAGGUGGUGUGAUGGCAAAAGGGCUCUUCCGGUGCCCCCUAGUCCAAAGCCAGGGUCUUGGAGCUAGCCAAGUGCACCUGAGGGAGGGUAGGCAAUUGCAGCAGCAAAAGAAGGUGUUCUUCCGUUGCAGUUAGCAAACAAGU